rnacentral:sRNA from 1 species
GCCGGGUAUGGUGGCUCAUGCCUGUAAUCCCAGCACUUUGGGAGGCUGAGGCAGGUGGAUCACUUGAGGUCAGGAGUUUGAGACCAGCCUGACCAACAUGGUGAAACCCUGUCUCUA